AUUGAACGCUGGCGGCAGGCUUAACACAUGCAAGUCGAGCGGAGAUGAGGUGCUUGCACCUUAUCUUAGCGGCGGACGGGUGAGUAAUGCUUAGGAAUCUGCCUAUUAGUGGGGGACAACAUUCCGAAAGGAAUGCUAAUACCGCAUACGUCCUACGGGAGAAAGCAGGGGAUCUUCGGACCUUGCGCUAAUAGAUGAGCCUAAGUCGGAUUAGCUAGUUGGUGGGGUAAAGGCCUACCAAGGCGACGAUCUGUAGCGGGUCUGAGAGGAUGAUCCGCCACACUGGGACGGAGACACUGCCCAGACUCCUACGGGAGGCAGCAGUGGGGAAUAUUGGACAAUGGGGGAAACCCUGAUCCAGCCAUGCCGCGUGUGUGAAGAAGGCCUUAUGGUUGUAAAGCACUUUAAGCGAGGAGGAGGCUACUGAGACUAAUACUCUUGGAUAGUGGACGUUACUCGCAGAAUAAGCACCGGCUAACUCUGUGCCAGCCGCCGCCGUAA
rnacentral:rRNA from 1 species